rnacentral:rRNA from 1 species
AGGACGAACGCUGGCGGCGUGCCUAAUACAUGCAAGUCGAACGAACUCUGGUAUUGAUUGGUGCUUGCAUCAUGAUUUACAUUUGAGUGAGUGGCGAACUGGUGAGUAACACGUGGGAAACCUGCCCAGAAGCGGGGGAUAACACCUGGAAACAGAUGCUAAUACCGCAUAACAACUUGGACCGCAUGGUCCGAGUUUGAAAGAUGGCUUCGGCUAUCACUUUUGGAUGGUCCCGCGGCGUAUUAGCUAGAUGGUGGGGUAACGGCUCACCAUGGCAAUGAUACGUAGCCGACCUGAGAGGGUAAUCGGCCACAUUGGGACUGAGACACGGCCCAAACUCCUACGGGAGGCAGCAGUAGGGAAUCUUCCACAAUGGACGAAAGUCUGAUGGAGCAACGCCGCGUGAGUGAAGAAGGGUUCCGGCUCGUAAAACUCUGUUGUUAAAGAAGAACAUAUCUGAGAGUAACUGUUCAGGUAUUGACGGUAUUUAACCAGAAAGCCACGGCUAACUACGUGCCAGCAGCCGCGGUAAUACGUAGGUGGCAAGCGUUGUCCGGAUUUAUUGGGCGUAAAGCGAGCGCAGGCGGUUUUUUAAGUCUGAUGUGAAAGCCUUCGGCUCAACCGAAGAAGUGCAUCGGAAACUGGGAAACUUGAGUGCAGAAGAGGACAGUGGAACUCCAUGUGUAGCGGUGAAAUGCGUAGAUAUAUGGAAGAACACCAGUGGCGAAGGCGGCUGUCUGGUCUGUAACUGACGCUGAGGCUCGAAAGUAUGGGUAGCAAACAGGAUUAGAUACCCUGGUAGUCCAUACCGUAAACGAUGAAUGCUAAGUGUUGGAGGGUUUCCGCCCUUCAGUGCUGCAGCUAACGCAUUAAGCAUUCCGCCUGGGGAGUACGGCCGCAAGGCUGAAACUCAAAGGAAUUGACGGGGGCCCGCACAAGCGGUGGAGCAUGUGGUUUAAUUCGAAGCUACGCGAAGAACCUUACCAGGUCUUGACAUACUAUGCAAAUCUAAGAGAUUAGACGUUCCCUUCGGGGACAUGGAUACAGGUGGUGCAUGGUUGUCGUCAGCUCGUGUCGUGAGAUGUUGGGUUAAGUCCCGCAACGAGCGCAACCCUUAUUAUCAGUUGCCAGCAUUAAGUUGGGCACUCUGGUGAGACUGCCGGUGACAAACCGGAGGAAGGUGGGGAUGACGUCAAAUCAUCAUGCCCCUUAUGACCUGGGCUACACACGUGCUACAAUGGAUGGUACAACGAGUUGCGAACUCGCGAGAGUAAGCUAAUCUCUUAAAGCCAUUCUCAGUUCGGAUUGUAGGCUGCAACUCGCCUACAUGAAGUCGGAAUCGCUAGUAAUCGCGGAUCAGCAUGCCGCGGUGAAUACGUUCCCGGGCCUUGUACACACCGCCCGUCACACCCAUGAGAGUUUGUAACCACCCAAAGUCGGUGGGGUAACCCUUUUAGGAACCCAGCCGCCUUAAGGUGGACAGAUGAUU